rnacentral:misc_RNA from 1 species
GAUGAAGAACGUAGCGAAAUGCGAUAAGUAAUGUGAAUUGCAGAAUUCAGUGAAUCAUCGAAUCUUUGAACGCACAUUGCGCCCGCGAGUAUUCUCGCGGGCAUGCCUGUCCGAGCGUCAUUUCAACCCUCAGGGCCCGCCUGCUUGCAGGCGCGGCGCUGGUGUUGGGGAUCGGCUACCCUGCCGUCCCCCAAAUACAGUGGCGGUCUCGCUGCAGCCUCCCCUGCGUAGUAGCAACACUCGCAUGCGGAGCGCGGCGCGGCUACGCCGUAAAACCCCCGACUUUCUGAACGUUGACCUCGGAUCAGGUAGGAAUACCCGCUGAACUUAAGCAUAUCAAUAAGCGGAGGA